CAGAUAAAUUGAUGGACAUUAUCUCCCUCAAUGACUAUUAGCCGGGAAGGGCAGGGAUGGUGUCCCUAGCCUUGGCUUUGCCAGAAACUGGGAAUGGGUGACAGGGGAUGGAUCACUUGAUGAUUACUAGUUCUGAUUAUUCCCUCUGAAGCACCUGGCAUUGGCCACUUUCGAA